rnacentral:lncRNA from 1 species
AUUGAGCCGAUUUUCUGUGUCCACCAUAGUAUGGACAUUCAGAGAAGAGAACAGAAUUGCAAGGCUGCCACAUGCAGGUGGAAGGACAGCUAUAUUCACUCGGGAGCAAGAGGCCGUUAUAGUUGGCAUGGUCCUUCAAGAUAAUGCAAUAAGACUCAGAGAAAUCCAGGAACGAGUGAUACAAGACAACACACACUUCCAGGGAAUCGACAGUGUGAGCAUUUCCACAAUUGACCGUGUCCUCCAUCGUAAUAGGAUGCGAAUGAAACAAGUAUACAGAG